AGGACGAACGCUGGCGGCGUGCUUAACACAUGCAAGUCAAGGGGGGCCGCAAGGUCAACCGGCGAACGGGUGCGUAACACGUGAGCAACCUGCCUAAGUGUGGGGGAUAGCCGGCCCAACGGCCGGGUAAUACCGCAUACGAUCACUAGCCGGCAUCGGCAUGUGAUGAAACUUUCGGGGCACUUAGAGGGCUCGCGGCCUAUCAGCUUGUUGGUGGGUAUGGCCUACCAAGGCAACGACGGGUAGC
rnacentral:rRNA from 1 species